rnacentral:rRNA from 1 species
GCCCCAGUAAACGGCGGCCGUAACUAUAACGGUCCUAAGGUAGCGAAAUUCCUUGUCGGGUAAGUUCCGACCUGCACGAAUGGCGUAAUGAUGGCCAGGCUGUCUCCACCCGAGACUCAGUGAAAUUGAACUCGCUGUGAAGAUGCAGUGUACCCGCGGCAAGACGGAAAGACCCCGUGAACCUUUACUAUAGCUUGACACUGAACAUUGAGCCUUGAUGUGUAGGAUAGGUGGGAGGCUUUGAAGUGUGGACGCCAGUCUGCAUGGAGCCAACCUUGAAAUACCACCCUUUAACGUUUGAUGUUCUAACCUAGGCCCAUAAACUGGGUCGGGGACCGUGUCUGGUGGGUAGUUUGACUGGGGCGGUCUCCUCCUAAAGAGUAACGGAGGAGCACGAAGGUUGGCUAAGCAUGGUCGGACAUCAUGCGGUUAGUGCAAAGGCAUAAGCCAGCUUGACUGCGAGAGUGACGGCUCGAGCAGGUACGAAAGUAGGUCUUAGUGAUCCGGUGGUUCUGAAUGGAAGGGCCAUCGCUCAACGGAUAAAAGGUACUCCGGGGAUAACAGGCUGAUACCGCCCAAGAGUUCAUAUCGACGGCGGUGUUUGGCACCUCGAUGUCGGCUCAUCACAUCCUGGGGCUGAAGUAGGUCCCAAGGGUAUGGCUGUUCGCCAUUUAAAGUGGUACGCGAGCUGGGUUUAGAACGUCGUGAGACAGUUCGGUCCCUAUCUGCCGUGGGCGUUGGAAGAUUGAGAGGGGUUGCUCCUAGUACGAGAGGACCGGAGUGAACGCACCACUGGUGUUCGGGUUGUCAUGCCAAUGGCAUUGCCCGGUAGCUAAGUGCGGAAGAGAUAACCGCUGAAAGCAUCUAAGCGGGAAACUUGCCUCGAGAUGAGUCUUCCCUGUCGCUUUAAGUGACCUAAAGGAACGUUUAAGACUAAGACGUUGAUAGGCUGGGUGUGUAAGCGUAGCGAUACGUUGAGCUAACCAGUACUAAUGAACCGUGAGGCUUAACCUG